GCGAAUGCUGACAUAAGUAACGAUAAAGCGGGUGAAAAGCCCGCUCGCCGGAAGACCAAGGGUUCCUGUCCAACGUUAAUCGGGGCAGGGUGAGUCGACCCCUAAGGCGAGGCCGAAAGGCGUAGUCGAUGGGAAACGGGUUAAUAUUCCCGUACUUGGUGUUACUGCGAAGGGGGGACGGAGAAGGCUAUGUUGGCCGGGCGACGGUUGUCCCGGUUUAAGCGUGUAGGUGUGUGUUCCAGGUAAAUCCGGUUCACUUUAACACUGAGGCGUGACGACGAGGCACUACGGUGCUGAAGCAACAAAUGCCCUGCUUCCAGGAAAAGCCUCUAAGCAUCAGGUAACAUCAAAUCGUACCCCAAACCGACACAGGUGGUCAGGUAGAGAAUACCAAGGCGCUUGAGAGAACUCGGGUGAAGGAACUAGGCAAAAUGGUGCCGUAACUUCGGGAGAAGGCACGCUGACACGUAGGUGAAGUGAUUUACUCAUGGAGCUGAAGUCAGUCGAAGAUACCAGCUGGCUGCAACUGUUUAUUAAAAACACAGCACUGUGCAAACACGAAAGUGGACGUAUACGGUGUGACGCCUGCCCGGUGCCGGAAGGUUAAUUGAUGGGGUCAGCGCAAGCGAAGCUCCUGAUCGAAGCCCCGGUAAACGGCGGCCGUAACUAUAACGGUCCUAAGGUAGCGAAAUUCCUUGUCGGGUAAGUUCCGACCUGCACGAAUGGCGUAAUGAUGGCCAGGCUGUCUCCACCCGAGACUCAGUGAAAUUGAACUCGCUGUGAAGAUGCAGUGUACCCGCGGCAAGACGGAAAGACCCCGUGAACCUUUACUAUAGCUUGACACUGAACAUUGAGCCUUGAUGUGUAGGAUAGGUGGGAGGCUUUGAAGUGUGGACGCCAGUCUGCAUGGAGCCGACCUUGAAAUACCACCCUUUAAUGUUUGAUGUUCUAACGUGGACCCGUUACCCGGGUUGCGGACAGUGUCUGGUGGGUAGUUUGACUGGGGCGGUCUCCUCCUAAAGAGUAACGGAGGAGCACGAAGGUUGGCUAAUCCUGGUCGGACAUCAGGAGGUUAGUGCAAUGGCAUAAGCCAGCUUGACUGCGAGCGUGACGGCGCGAGCAGGUGCGAAAGCAGGUCAUAGUGAUCCGGUGGUUCUGAAUGGAAGGGCCAUCGCUCAACGGAUAAAAGGUACUCCGGGGAUAACAGGCUGAUACCGCCCAAGAGUUCAUAUCGACGGCGGUGUUUGGCACCUCGAUGUCGGCUCAUCACAUCCUGGGGCUGAAGUAGGUCCCAAGGGUAUGGCUGUUCGCCAUUUAAAGUGGUACGCGAGCUGGGUUUAGAACGUCGUGAGACAGUUCGGUCCCUAUCUGCCGUGGGCGCUGGAGAACUGAGGGGGGCUGCUCCUAGUACGAGAGGACCGGAGUGGACGCAUCACUGGUGUUCGGGUUGUCAUGCCAAUGGCACUGCCCGGUAGCUAAAUGCGGAAGAGAUAAGUGCUGAAAGCAUCUAAGCACGAAACUUGCCCCGAG
rnacentral:rRNA from 3 species